AAGGAGCAAAUAACUUGGCCAAACCUUGGUUCUCCUGCUGUUGAGAUGCAUGAUGAUAGCCUACCUGGUUUCCAUACCAGUCCAGAUGGAUACUGAUCUUAAGUCACCAAUUAUCCGGACCCUCUCGUUAGCUUGGAUCAAGGUCAUAAAUAUAGUCCUUUUAAGAGACCUUUUUCAGCUGGUGCAGUCUUUUGAACAAACCAGAAAUAAAAAUGUGAUGCUGCAUUA